UGGGGAAUUUUGCACAAUGGGGACUAGCCCGAAGCAGGGACAACCCGUGAGCGAUGGAGGCCUUCGGGUUGUGAACCUCUUUCGGUCAUGGUCAAGCCGCGGUUUUGUCCGUGGUGAGGGUAGCGGGUAAAGAAGCGCCGGCUAACUACGUGCCAGCAGCCGCGGUAAUACGUAGGUGGCAAGCGUUGUCCGGAAUUAUUGGGCGUAAAGGGAGUGUAGGCGGGAAGACAAGUCUGUCUUAAAAGUGCGGGGCUCAACCCCGUGAUGGGAUGGAAACUGUCGGUCUAGAGUGCCGGAGAGGAAAGCGGAAUUCCUAGUGUAGCGGUGAAAUGCGUAGAUAUUAGGAGGAACACCAGUGGCGAAGGCGGCUUUCUGGACUGUAACUGACACUGAGGCUCGAAAGCCAGGGGAGCGAACGGGAUUAGAUACCCCGGUAGUCCUGGCCGUAAACGAUGGAUACUAGGUGUAGGAGGUAUCGACCCCUUCUGUGCCGGAGUUAACGCAAUAAGUAUUCCGCCUGGGGAGUACGAUCGCAAGAUUG
rnacentral:rRNA from 1 species